rnacentral:lncRNA from 1 species
UAAACACACACUGGCCUUUUUAUAGUAGUACAAGAUAUUUUCUAGCCUGCUGCUUUCUGAUUGGCUGAACCAGACCUCCCACGGAUCACGCCUCUCCACCGUCCAUCCUUAGCUGAUCCAACGGUCCCUGCUCCUUCUACUCUCUAUCUGUACUUUCCCUGAUUCUUAUCCUCUCACACAGCCACACAAACAUGCCAGCAGCAGCCAUGCCCGAGGAAAUCCACAGCUCCCAGCCGUCGGACGCCGCCAUCCGCGCGAAGGGCCGCCGCCCGCACCUCCCACCACAGCACGCCGGUGAGCCGCGCCUUGCGCCGCCUCUCUCUCUCUUAUGUUCUCCUCUCUAAUCUCUCUCCUCCUUGCAGCAAUGGAGGCCGACCGCCCAUGGCAUCGCCCGAGCUCACCUCCCAGCAGUCGCUCUCCUUUCAAUUCGUCGGGAUCCGGCUAGAUCCGGAUGCCAGUGCCCCGUUCCUACUUCCGCGCCUCGCUUGGGUCGUCGGCCACCUCGACGAUGUGAUACCACUCGCGGGAUCCAACGCCACUGCUGGCUAGCCACUUCCUCCUGGAGGAGACGCCCCCACAUCGGCGCCUCCCCACAUGAGCAGCAGCAACAAACGCCUCGCUAUGGGCGUCUCUGGUGGCGCUUUUUCUUGUAAUUUUUUUUAAAGAACUUUGCCAGAUCUGUCCGUGAAAAACAAUGGCGUUGAACUCCGAUUGAUGUCCCGCGAAGGCUGGGCGGCGCUUGAUGCGGUGGCUGCAGAAUAUCUCCGGGCAAAAUAGUAGGCCAGAUCUAGGGGGAAAAAACUGUAAUUCCAAGUUUUUGGUUGUGUAUUUCUUCCUUUUGGUAAAAAUAAAAUUUAGUUAUCUGGUAUGUUUAUGCAAUUUUCCUUUUUAUCUAUAAGGCAAUGAGCAUAUAUAAUCAAAAAAAAUGUUAAUGACUAAAGUUUCCAUGGACCAAGAGAAACAAAUGGAUCAGCUAAUGUCUCAAUUAAAAUUAGUGGGCCUUGGACGGAUCGGAAAUUUAAUGGGCCAAAAUUCUUAUGAUGGGCCGAUGGUCUUAGAUAGAGGUGAAAUUUAGUGGGCUAAAACUCUGAUUAGGCCGACUACUACAUGGGCUGCCAUGUCAGGUCCAUGUUGACC